GUGCUCUCUUUGGCAGCACGUACACUAAAACUGCAACAGUACAGAGAACAUCUGCAUGGCGCCCGUGAAAGAAUGACAGAGGUCAGUAGAGACUUCACUGAGAAAAAU
ensembl:snRNA U6 U6 spliceosomal RNA